rnacentral:rRNA from 1 species
GUGGGGAAUAUUGCACAAUGGGCGGAAGCCUGAUGCAGCAACGCCGCGUGCGGGAUGACGGCCUUCGGGUUGUAAACCGCUUUCAGCAGGGACGAAGCGUGAGUGACGGUACCUGCAGAAGAAGCACCGGCUAACUACGUGCCAGCAGCCGCGGUGAUACGUAGGGUGCGAGCGUUGUCCGGAUUUAUUGGGCGUAAAGAGCUUGUAGGCGGUUGGUUGCGUCGAAAGUGCAAACUCAGGGCUUAACUCUGAGCCUGCUUUCGAUACGGGCGGACUGGAGGAAGGUAGGGGAGAAUGGAAUUCCCGGUGGAGCGGUGGAAUGCGCAGAUAUCGGGAGGAACACCAGUGGCGAAGGCGGUUCUCUGGACCUUUCCUGACGCUGAGAAGCGAAAGCGUGGGGAGCAAACAGGCUUAGAUACCCGGGUAGUCC